GGAGAGGUCGUUCAAUACUGCCGAACUAGAGGACAUCAGAGGAGCAUGGAAUUUCCGGUGUAGCGGUAAAAUGCGCAGAUAUCGGAAGGAACACCAGUGGCGAAGGCGGUGCUCUGGGGUGUGCCUGACGCUGAGAGACGAAAGCUAGGGGAGCGAACAGGAUUAGAGACCCUGGUAGUCCUAGCCCUAAACGAUGGAUGCUAGAUGUGGGGCCGAGAAGGCUCCGUGUCGCAGUUAACGCGCUGAGCAUCCCGCCUGGGGAUUACGGCCGCAAGGCUAAAACUCAAACGAAUUGACGGGGCCCCGCACAAGCAGCGGAGCGUGUGGUUUAAUUCGAUGCUACACGAAGAACCUUACCUGGGUUUGACAUGUAAGUGGUAGUGAAGCGAAAGCGGAGCGACCCUUCGGGGAGCUUACACAGGUGCUGCAUGGCUGUCGUCAGCUCGUGCCGUGAGGUGUCGGGUUAAGUCCCGUAACGAGCGCAACCCUUGCCCUUAGUUACAAGUGUCUAAGGGGACUGCCGGCGGUAAGCCGGAGGAAGGUGGGGAUGACGUCAAGUCGGCAUGGCCCUGAUAUCCAGGGCUACACACACGCUACAAUGGUCAGUACAAAGGGCAGCGAAGCCGCGAGGUGAAGCGAAUCCCACCAAAGCUGAUCUAAGUUCGGAUUGCAGGCUGCAACUCGCCUGCAUGAAGCAUGGAGUUGCUAGUAACCGCGCGUCAGCCAUAGUGCGGUGAUACGUUCCCGGGGCUUGUACACACCGCCCGUCACGUCAUGGGAGU
rnacentral:rRNA from 1 species